UCCGAGUUGACCCCGGCAGUCUCCUAUGAGUCCCCACCAUUACGUGCUGGCAACACAGGACAAGGGUUGCGCUCGUUGCGGGACUUAACCCAACAUCUCACGACACGAGCUGACGACAGCCAUGCACCACCUGUAUACCGACCACAAGGGGGGCCGUAUCUCUACGGCUUUCCGGUAUAUGUCAAACCCAGGUAAGGUGGGGAUGACGUUCUUGCUAGGUAA
rnacentral:misc_RNA from 1 species